rnacentral:rRNA from 1 species
GGUUAAGCGACUAAGCGUACACGGUGGAUGCCCUGGCAGUCAGAGGCGAUGAAGGGCGUGCUAAUCUGCGAUAAGCGCCGGUAAGGUGAUAUGAACCGUUAUAACCGGCGAUACCCGAAUGGGGAAACCCAGUGUGAUUCGUCACACUAUCAUUAACUGAAUCCAUAGGUUAAUGAGGCGAACCGGGGGAACUGAAACAUCUAAGUACCCCGAGGAAAAGAAAUCAACCGAGAUUCCCCCAGUAGCGGCGAGCGAACGGGGAGGAGCCCAGAGCCUGAAUCAGCAUGUGUGUUAGUGGAAGCGUCUGGAAAGGCGCGCGAUACAGGGUGACAGCCCCGUACACAAAAAGCGCAUGUGCUGUGAGCUCGAUGAGUAGGGCGGGACACGUGGUAUCCUGUCUGAAUAUGGGGGGACCAUCCUCCAAGGCUAAAUACUCCUGACUGACCGAUAGUGAACCAGUACCGUGAGGGAAAGGCGAAAAGAACCCCGGCGAGGGGAGUGAAAAAGAACCUGAAACCGUGUACGUACAAGCAGUGGGAGCCCCACCACCAAAGCAUUCUCUGGUGUUGAAGGCCCUGCAAAGCAGCAUCGCGGUGGCGGAGCGUCGUUUGCGACGCCCAACACACAAAACAAGCGGUGAGUGCUUUGGGGUGGGGUGACUGCGUACCUUUUGUAUAAUGGGUCAGCGACUUAUAUUCUGUAGCAAGGUUAACCGAAUAGGGGAGCCGGAGGGAAACCGAGUCUUAAUUGGGCGUUAAGUUGCAGGGUAUAGACCCGAAACCCGGUGAUCUAGCCAUGGGCAGGUUGAAGGUUGGGUAACACUAACUGGAGGACCGAACCGACUAAUGUUGAAAAAUUAGCGGAUGACCUGUGGCUGGGGGUGAAAGGCCAAUCAAACCGGGAGAUAGCUGGUUCUCCCCGAAAGCUAUUUAGGUAGCGCCUCGUGAAUUCAUCUCCGGGGGUAGAGCACUGUUUCGGCUAGGGGGCCAUCCCGGCUUACCAACCCGAUGCAAACUGCGAAUACCGGAGAAUGUUAUCACGGGAGACACACGGCGGGUGCUAACGUCCGUCGUGAAGAGGGAAACAACCCAGACCGCCAGCUAAGGUCCCAAAGUCAUGGUUAAGUGGGAAACGAUGUGGGAAGGCCCAGACAGCCAGGAUGUUGGCUUAGAAGCAGCCAUCAUUUAAAGAAAGCGUAAUAGCUCACUGGUCGAGUCGGCCUGCGCGGAAGAUGUAACGGGGCUAAACCAUGCACCGAAGCUGCGGCAGCGACACUCAGGUGUUGUUGGGUAGGGGAGCGUUCUGUAAGCCUGCGAAGGUGGCCUGUGAGGGUUGCUGGAGGUAUCAGAAGUGCGAAUGCUGACAUAAGUAACGAUAAAGCGGGUGAAAAGCCCGCUCGCCGGAAGACCAAGGGUUCCUGUCCAACGUUAAUCGGGGCAGGGUGAGUCGACCCCUAAGGCGAGGCCGAAAGGCGUAGUCGAUGGGAAACGGGUUAAUAUUCCCGUACUUGGUGUUACUGCGAAGGGGGGACGGAGAAGGCUAUGUUGGCCGGGCGACGGUUGUCCCGGUUUAAGCGUGUAGGUGUGUGUUCCAGGUAAAUCCGGUUCACUUUAACACUGAGGCGUGAUGACGAGGCACUACGGUGCUGAAGCAACAAAUGCCCUGCUUCCAGGAAAAGCCUCUAAGCAUCAGGUAACAUCAAAUCGUACCCCAAACCGACACAGGUGGUCAGGUAGAGAAUACCAAGGCGCUUGAGAGAACUCGGGUGAAGGAACUAGGCAAAAUGGUGCCGUAACUUCGGGAGAAGGCACGCUGACACGUAGGUGAAGUGAUUUACUCAUGGAGCUGAAGUCAGUCGAAGAUACCAGCUGGCUGCAACUGUUUAUUAAAAACACAGCACUGUGCAAACACGAAAGUGGACGUAUACGGUGUGACGCCUGCCCGGUGCCGGAAGGUUAAUUGAUGGGGUCAGCGCAAGCGAAGCUCCUGAUCGAAGCCCCGGUAAACGGCGGCCGUAACUAUAACUAGUCCUAAGGUAGCGAAAUUCCUUGUCGGGUAAGUUCCGACCUGCACGAAUGGCGUAAUGAUGGCCAGGCUGUCUCCACCCGAGACUCAGUGAAAUUGAACUCGCUGUGAAGAUGCAGUGUACCCGCGGCAAGACGGAAAGACCCCGUGAACCUUUACUAUAGCUUGACACUGAACAUUGAGCCUUGAUGUGUAGGAUAGGUGGGAGGCUUUGAAGUGUGGACGCCAGUCUGCAUGGAGCCGACCUUGAAAUACCACCCUUUAAUGUUUGAUGUUCUAACGUGGACCCGUAAUCCGGGUUGCGGACAGUGUCUGGUGGGUAGUUUGACUGGGGCGGUCUCCUCCUAAAGAGUAACGGAGGAGCACGAAGGUUGGCUAAUCCUGGUCGGACAUCAGGAGGUUAGUGCAAUGGCAUAAGCCAGCUUGACUGCGAGCGUGACGGCGCGAGCAGGUGCGAAAGCAGGUCAUAGUGAUCCGGUGGUUCUGAAUGGAAGGGCCAUCGCUCAACGGAUAAAAGGUACUCCGGGGAUAACAGGCUGAUACCGCCCAAGAGUUCAUAUCGACGGCGGUGUUUGGCACCUCGAUGUCGGCUCAUCACAUCCUGGGGCUGAAGUAGGUCCCAAGGGUAUGGCUGUUCGCCAUUUAAAGUGGUACGCGAGCUGGGUUUAGAACGUCGUGAGACAGUUCGGUCCCUAUCUGCCGUGGGCGCUGGAGAACUGAGGGGGGCUGCUCCUAGUACGAGAGGACCGGAGUGGACGCAUCACUGGUGUUCGGGUUGUCAUGCCAAUGGCACUGCCCGGUAGCUAAAUGCGGAAGAGAUAAGUGCUGAAAGCAUCUAAGCACGAAACUUGCCCCGAGAUGAGUUCUCCCUGAGACUUUAAGUCUCCUGAAGGAACGUUGAAGACGACGACGUUGAUAGGCCGGGUGUGUAAGCGCAGCGAUGCGUUGAGCUAACCGGUACUAAUGAACCGUGAGGCUUAACCUU